GAUGAACGCUGGCGGCGUGCUUAACACAUGCAAGUCGAACGGGAAGCCACACUUCGGUGUGGCAGAGAGUGGCGCACGGGUGCGUAACACGUAGCUCAUCUGCCCUAGAGACGGGGAUAACACACGGAAACGUGUGCUAAAACCCGAUAAGCUCACGAACUGUAGAGGUUUGUGAGAAAAACUCCGGUGCUCUAGGAUGAGGCUGCGGUCCAUCAGCUAGAUGGUGAGGUAAAGGCUCACCAUGGCAACGACGGAUAGGGGGCCUGAGAGGGUGACCCCCCACACUGGCACUGAGACACGGGCCAGACUCCUACGGGAGGCAGCAGUGAGGAAUAUUGCACAAUGGGCGAAAGCCUGAUGCAGCGACGCCGCGUGGGCGAUGAAGGUCUUCGGAUCGUAAAGCCCUUUUCUAUGUGAUGAGAACAAGGACGGUAGCAUAGGAAUAAGUCUCGGCUAACUUCGUGCCAGCAGCCGCGGUAAAACGUAGGAGGCGAGCGUUAUCCGGAGUUACUGGGCGUAAAGCGCGUGUAGGCGGUUGUGUAGGUCUGAUGUGAAAGCUCCCAGGCUAA
rnacentral:rRNA from 1 species